GACUUUCUCGACUCGUCGUCAGCCGGGGCCGCAGCGCGGCCGGUGGGGACUGCGGGGCGGGCCGGAGUCCGUCCGAGGGCUCCCGCACCUCGGGCUGCGGCACCAGACAUGUUGGCAUCAUCUCUUAGUUGGGCCAUGUGGCCAGGGAACCCUUCAUGAAACCACCUCUGCAGUCCUGGAGAGUUGCUGUAGAAGAAGGAAAAGAGAGGAAGACAACACAACACAGGAGGGGAUAAGUACCUCUGGACACAAUGGAAGUAGUAGUUGUUGAGCAGAGGGAAAGGGAUAGGAGAAGGAUGUGGACUGCAGUGCUGCAGUGCCAGAGUCACGCUCUUGUCGCCCA
rnacentral:lncRNA from 10 species